rnacentral:rRNA from 1 species
UGGCGAACGGGUGAGUAACACGUGGGUGAUCUGCCCUGCACUUCGGGAUAAGCUUGGGAAACUGGGUCUAAUACCGGAUAGGACCAUCGUUUAGUGUCGGUGGUGGAAAGUUUUUUCGGUGUGGGAUGAGCUCGCGGCCUAUCAGCUUGUUGGUGGGGUAAUGGCCUACCAAGGCGUCGACGGGUAGCCGGCCUGAGAGUGUGUACGGCCACAUUGGGACUGAGAUACGGCCCAG